GACGAACGCUGGCGGCGUGCUUAACACAUGCAAGUCGAACGGAAAGGCCCUGCUUUUGUGGGGUGCUCGAGUGGCGAACGGGUGAGUAACAAGUGAGUAACCUGCCCUUGACUUUGGGAUAACUUCAGGAAACUGGGGCUAAUACCGGAUAGGAGCUCCUGCUGCAUGGUGGGGGUUGGAAAGUUUCGGCGGUUGGGGAUGGACUCGCGGCUUAUCAGCUUGUUGGUGGGGUAGUGGCUUACCAAGGCUUUGACGGGUAGCCGGCCUGAGAGGGUGACCGGCCACAUUGGGACUGAGAUACGGCCCAGACUCCUACAGGAGGCAGCAGUGGGGAGUAUUGCACAAUGGGCGGAAGCCUGAUGCAGCAACGCCGCGUGCGGGAUGACGGCCUUCGGGUUGUAAACCGCUUUCGCCUGUGACGAAGCGUGAGUGACGGUAAUGGGUAAAGAAGCACCGGCUAACUACGUG
rnacentral:rRNA from 1 species